rnacentral:rRNA from 1 species
AGAAUCAACGCUGGCGGCGUGCCUAACACAUGCAAGUCGAACGAGAAAGGGGAGCAAUCCCUGAGUAAAGUGGCGACCGGGUGAGUAACACGUGACUAACCUACCCUCGAGUGUGGAAUAACAUCGGGAAACCGAUGCUAAUACCGCAUAACAUCGGCGCUUUUAAGAGAUGCCGAUCAAAGGAGCAAUCCGCUUGAGGAGGGGGUCGCGGCUGAUUAGCUAGUUGGCGGGGUAACGGCCCACCAAGGCGAAGAUCGGUAGCCGGCCUGAGAGGGGCGACCGGGCCAACGACUGGGACUGGAGACACGGCCCAGACUCCUACGGGAGGCAGCAGUGGGGAAUAUUGCGCAAUGGGCGAAAGCCUGACGCAGCGACGCCGCGUGAGGGAUGAAGGCCUUCGGGUUGUAAACCUCUUUCAGCAGGGACGAAGCGAAAGUGACGGUACCUGCAGAGAGCACGGCUAACACGUGCCAGCAGCCGC